GUGCUGUUGAUUUUCAGACCGGCGACGUGAUGAGAAAUAGUACCCAGAGAUCUCAGGAGGAUGAAGGACAAGUUAUUAAAACAUUUAACAGGACCUCUUUACUUCAGCCCCAAGUGCAACAAACACUUCCACCGGUUGUACCACAAUACUAGGGAUUGCACCAUACCAUCAUAUUUUGCAAGAUGUGCCAGGCUUCUCACAAGAUUGGCGGCCAGCCCGAUGUGUGUAAAAGGUUAAAUUCGACAAAUGGUGACAACAGUAAAUUCAAAUAUCCCCAGAACCAAGAAAAGUGCCUUGGAAAACAACAGGGAAACAAAUAGAUCUCAAUACCUUUAUAACAUAUUCCAUUGUGAACAAAGAUUUAUUUUUGCAAACUGAUGGAUUACUUCCAUAAACUCCUCAAUGUGCAUUUUGUAUGUUGUCAACAUUGUUUCUGUAAUUCUGUACAUUCAUAUAAAUAACUGCCAAUGUUACAAAAGCUUAACAUUUAAGAAAAUAAUAUUACUUCACUGUUUUGCUGCCAAAACUGCACAUAUGCUUUCUUGUUCAACAAAUAAUAUUUGGAACAUUAUUUUAUAUUAAACAUUGAGACACUCAGAUACUGUUCAAGACAAAGCUAAUGUAUCCUAAAUUUACUGUAGGAAUUUUUUCAUGCUGAAGAGUGCUGGCUAUCUCUACUUGUUAUAUGUAAUGCUAAUGCAUUUUAAACCCAUUUGCCACAUUGUAAUAUAGCAAAAUGAUGAUAUGGGAUUGACUAGGGUCCUCCUGUGUUCUAAGAGUUAAAUUAUGAUUUGCAUGACAUUUUUCUUGCCUUUGUCUUUCCAAAAUUUAAUAUUUUAAAACAAUACAGUCAGGCUUGUACUGUGUUGGUAAUGAUUUAUAUUCUGAGCUGAAAAAAAAGAGGUUUGUCAGCAAUUAUCUUUUGUCUAACACAGUGGAGUGUCAUUUGUACAGAAAUAUACAAGCUAAUGUCAUCAGUCACUGUACAUUAAG